rnacentral:misc_RNA from 1 species
GAUGAAGAACGUAGCGAAAUGCGAUAAGUAGUGUGAAUUGCAGAAUUCCGUGAAUCAUCGAAUCUUUGAACGCACAUUGCGCCUUCUGGUAUUCCGGAAGGCAUGCCUGUUCGAGAGUCAUUAACAACCGUUUCGAUCCCUUUCUUUCAGAAAUUACAAAGAGGAGAAGGGUUUGGUUAUGGUGGAGGAGGGAAAGGGAGCGUUUAGCCUGUAAAAAAAGAGGCUGUGUUCCGCCUCCCCCCCAAAAUUGUACAGGCGGUCGUGUGCGCCCACGCAUCGAGGUGUUGUAAAAGCUGCCACGGCACUUUUCACCUGUGCAGUGCGAGAUUGGCCAGCCGGUUUAAAAACCCCUCCAAACAAUCAAAGGUUGACCUCGGAUCAGGUAGGGAUACCCGCUGAACUUAAGCAUAUCAAUAAGCGGAGGA